GGUUAAGCGACUAAGCGUACACGGUGGAUGCCCUGGCAGUCAGAGGCGAUGAAGGGCGUGCUAAUCUGCGAUAAGCGCCGGUAAGGUGAUAUGAACCGUUAUAACCGGCGAUACCCGAAUGGGGAAACCCAGUGUGACUCGUCACACUAUCAUUAACUGAAUCCAUAGGUUAAUGAGGCGAACCGGGGGAACUGAAACAUCUAAGUACCCCGAGGAAAAGAAAUCAACCGAGAUUCCCCCAGUAGCGGCGAGCGAACGGGGAGGAGCCCAGAGCCUGAAUCAGCAUGUGUGUUAGUGGAAGCGUCUGGAAAGGCGCGCGAUACAGGGUGAC
rnacentral:rRNA from 7 species